UUUCCAGACUCCUACGGGAGGCAGCAGUGGGGAAUAUUGCACAAUGGGGGAAACCCUGAUGCAGCGACGCCGCGUGAGCGAUGAAGUAUUUCGGUAUGUAAAGCUCUAUCAGCAGGGAAGAAAAUGACGGUACCUGACUAAGAAGCCCCGGCUAACUACGUGCCAGCAGCCGCGGUAAUACGUAGGGGGCAAGCGUUAUCCGGAUUUACUGGGUGUAAAGGGAGCGUAGACGGCAUGGCAAGCCAGAUGUGAAAUACCGGGGUUCAACCCCGGGACUGCAUUUGGAACUGUUAAGCUGGAGUGUCGGAGAGGCAGGCGGAAUUCCUAGUGUAGCGGUGAAAUGCGUAGAUAUUAGGAGGAACACCAGUGGCGAAGGCGGCCUGCUGGACGAUAACUGACGUUGAGGCUCGAAGGCGUGGGGAGCAAACAGGAUUAGAUACCCCAGUA
rnacentral:rRNA from 1 species